UACGAAGGGGGCUAGCGUUGUUCGGAAUUACUGGGCGUAAAGCGCACGUAGGCGGAUAUUUAAGUCAGGGGGUGAAAUCCCAGAGCUCAACUCUGGAACUGCCUUUGAUACUGGGUAUCUCGAGUAUGGAAGAGGUGAGUGGAAUUCCGAGUGUAGAGGUGAAAUUCGUAGAUAUUCGGAGGAACACCAGUGGCGAAGGCGGCUCACUGGUCCAGCACUGACGCUGAGGUGCGAAAGCGUGGGGAGCAAACAGG
rnacentral:rRNA from 1 species